GGUCACUUCAGUUAAUUCCAAAGAUAACAGCCAGUUCGAAGAACAGAGAAUACAACAAGGAGAGAUGAAGUUUCCAUCUUAUGCUCUUCUAAACUUCAGAGAAUACAAGAGAAGUAGAAAGCACAGAAAUAAGGAAGACCAAACUUUGUAUGCAAUGAUUAAAGAAGAGACAGAAGUAAAUCCGACUUACGAGUCUCUGGAUAUGACCAAUUUGCCAAAACAACAACAAGGAAAUAGACUGAAAACGUGAAGAUAAGCAAGUCCAACAGAGAAUCCAGAAUUGUAUAAGAAAAAUAUCCAGUUUUACUGGGUCUAGCCAUCUUCUUGAACAGAUAUGAUGUCUGCCUGAUUGAAUUGGACUUAUUAU